rnacentral:rRNA from 1 species
UAUUGAACGCAUAUUGCGGCCACGGGUCCGUCCUGUGGCCACGCCCGUCUGAGGGUCGGCGACGUUCUACCCAUCGCUGGGAGGCUCUUGCUCAGCGCCUUGAGCUUUCGCAGUUUUUGGUACUGCGUGGCUUGAAAUGCAGACUCGAAAUGUUUGUUUGCCUGGCUGCUUCAGUUGCGUGGGCGACCUCAUGCGAGCAAAAGGACAUGGCUCGGAUGAUAAUAAGGACUGUCUUUGCUCUCGACCGCCGCGGCGACUACUAGAACGGUAAGGCAUCCAUCCCAUUUCCGACCUCAGAUCGGACGAGAUUACCCGCUGAAUUUAAGCAUAUCA